rnacentral:rRNA from 1 species
CCUACGGGAGGCAGCAGUGAGGAAUAUUGGUCAAUGGACGCAAGUCUGAACCAGCCAUGCCGCGUGCAGGAAGACGGCUCUAUGAGUUUUAAGCUGCUUUUGUACGAGGGUAAACGCAGAUACGUGUAUCUGUCUGAAAGUAUCGUACGAAUAAGGAUCGGCUAACUCCGUGCCAGCAGCCGCGGUAAUACGGAGGAUUCAAGCGUUAUCCGGAUUUAGUGGGCUUAAAGGGAGCGUAGGCGGUCGGUUAAGUUAGAGGUGAAAUCCCGAGGCUCAACUUCGGAACUGCCUCUGAUACUGGUCGGCUAGAGUGUAGUUGCGGUAGGCGGAAUGCAUGGUGUAGCGGUGAAAUGCUUAGAGAUCUUACAGAAUACCGAUUGCGAAGGCAGCUUAC